rnacentral:lncRNA from 1 species
ACUUUUCUUCUUGUCCUUUUUCCUUGUUUGCUUGCCGGGCCUUUCACAAUUUCCCUUACGACUCGGCAUUUCUCCAAAUCAAAUGAACCCGUUUUGGGAUAAUAUUGAUAUUUUUUUCUUUCUUUCUUUGUCCACUUAUACCAUUUCUCCAAAAAAAAAAAAAACCCACACCAGGUCCUUCUUCAGGAAUGGGUAUUUACCUUGCAGAUACGCGUAGUAUCUGGCUUCGUUGGAGUACGGUCGCUAGGAGCCUCUCUAUAUUCCGUUGCCAUGGUGUUUUAUGGUUGUUUAUUUAACGAACGAGCUGCGUGUAACGUUGGGCUAAGUGGAAUUUUUUUUUUUUCUUCUAUGUGUUGGUCCUUUUUUUUUACGUCACGUUUCCCCCCCACCUGUUUUUAAAUAUUCUACGUGGCUACUCUACCCUCUCUAUCAGUGUGUGUGUGUGGGGGGAGGAGGGUAGUUCCUGUGUGAUACAAGGAAACUCGAUUCUAUUCUAUGUAUGGUCAGUCACUUUUCUUUUAGUUUAACCCCGUUCGUUAAACCACGCUACCGUGUAGAAGGAACGACAUUAUACAUGUACUUAAUGUAAAAUAGGUUUCGCUCUCACUGGAAUAUCUACGAUCUCCGUCUAUUCUUUCAUUAUGGGUGUAUUGGUACAGAUAUUUCAUAUGUGGAUUUUAAUAAUAAUUUUUAAUAAUAAUAAUUGAUUACUAUCAAACGUUCUUUUUUUUAUAAUAAUCCAAAAUCUAAUCUCACACACCUAUUAUCGUGUUGUUGAUUUGGAUAAAACCCAUACACUAUGAUCAAAUGCUUUUAGUUCAAAAACAUUUUUUUGGGGGGGGGGCCCAUCUUCCAAUUUUCCAAUCUCACCAAUUUAUAAAUCAUACAUUUAGAACACAAUACAGAAAUAAACACAAUUAUAGUCCUCCACACAGGUCAGGACAGAAAUAAACAAAAUUAUAGUCCUCCACACAGGUCAGGACAGAAAUAAACAAAACAUUGUGUACACAAAACCAGCAUUUUCAACAGGCACGACGGCCUAAACCACAGCUUUAUACCAAGUUUCACACCAGGUCCUGUAACAGUCAGAAAUUCCUAACUAUACACCCGAAAUGGUUUGUGUCCAUAGAUCAACAUUCACAUGUUAACACACCACGGGCUUCUAUAAAUAUAGGUAUCUAUCCACUUCCAUAAUAAUUUACCAACUCAGUUGAGGUGAGUUGACACUUGCAUACUGGAACGAAUCAUCAGAGACACAGUGUUUUAAAUAAAAUUAAAAUAAUCUCAGACUUUUUAGAUUAUAACAGGCGUCUGUUUACCUUGUUAAUUUGAUGUGCAAACACAGUGGGCGAUGGUCCUCCCAGCAGCAAUGGUCACUUACUCCUGGUUAGCUCGCCCAAAAAAUGUUGAAAGGGGGGAGAGAUCCUUUUGCACAGAGUGGUAUACAAGAAGUCCAGUUGGGGAAAUAUGAGAAGAACACAGGCUCCUUUAAAAAAAUUAAAAAAGUUUUUUUAAACUCUUCGUUUAGUUAUAAAUGCAAUCGCAGACAGGAGUUCACAUACAAAAGUACCUCCAGUAAUCUGUAAGGAAAGUUCUGCGAGUGAUCAAACCCAAACACUGGUCCCUAUUUUAAAUUUAUACCAGUUGAUCACACACAUAUGGUGCGAUCAGCCUACACACUUCCUAUGCUAACGCUUUUUCAUAAAAGCGGUUUUUGUACAGUCAUCUUCUAAGACACACGGAUACAUUUGAAUUUAUAACAUGAGCAGAGAACGUUGCAGCUGGAGGGGCGGGGGGGUUUCCCCCAUUGCGGUGCGUUAGUAACUUCCUG